rnacentral:rRNA from 1 species
CCUACGGGUGGCUGCAGCAGGGAAUCUUGCGCAAUGGGCGAAAGCCUGACGCAGCGACACCGCGUGGGGGAUGAAGGCUUUCGAGUUGUAAACCCCUUUUCCCGGGGAUGAGAAAGGACAGUACCCGGGGAAUAAGGUUCGGCUAACUACGUGCCAGCAGCCGCGGUAAUACGUAGGAACCGAGCGUUGUCCGGAUUUACUGGGCGUAAAGUGCGCGUAGGCGGUCCGUUAAGUCUCAUGUGAAAUCUCCCGGCUCAACUGGGAGGGGUCAUGGGAUACUGGCAGACUGGAGUGCAGUAGAGGAAAGCGGAAUUCCCGGAGUAGUGGUGGAAUGCGUAGAUACCGGGAGGAACACCAGAGGCGAAGGCGGCUUUCUGGGCUGUAACUGACGCUGAGGCGCGAAAGCGAGGGUAGCAAACCGGAUUAGAUACCCGGG